rnacentral:rRNA from 1 species
UGGGGAAUAUUGGACAAUGGGCGCAAGCCUGAUCCAGCCAUGCCGCGUGAGUGAUGAAGGCCCUAGGGUUGUAAAGCUCUUUCAAUUGGGAGAAAAAGCUUGUCGUUAAUAGCGGCAAGCCUUGAUGUUACCUUUAGAAGAAGCACCGGCUAACUCCGUGCCAGCAGCCGCGGUAAUACGGAGGGUGCGAGCGUUAAUCGGAAUUACUGGGCGUAAAGCGCGCGUAGGCGGUUGCUUAAGUCGGAUGUGAAAGCCCCGGGCUCAACCUGGGAACUGCAUUCGAUACUGGGCGACUAGAGUUCGGGAGAGGAUAGUGGAAUUCCCAGUGUAGAGGUGAAAUUCGUAGAUAUUGGGAAGAACACCAGUGGCGAAGGCGGCUAUCUGGACCGAUACUGACGCUGAGGCGCGAAAAGCGUGGGGGAGCAAAACAGGAUUAGAAUACCCUGGUAGUCCACGCCGUAAAACGAUGAAUGCCAGGUCGUCGGGUAGCAUGCUAUUCGGUGACACACCUAACGGAUUAAGCAUUCCGCCU